UCCCUGGUGGUCCAGUGGCUAAGGCUCUACGUUCCCAAUGCCCAGGGCCCAGGUUCAAUCCCUGGUCAGGGAA
rfam:TPA: Bos taurus chromosome 7, whole genome shotgun sequence.